GACGUAGGGCGCGAGCGUUGUCCGGAUUUAUUGGGCGUAAAGCGCGUGUAGGCGGCUUUGCAAGUCGGGUGUGAAAGCCCUCAGCUCAACUGAGGAAGUGCGCCCGAAACUGCAGAGCUUGAGUACUGGAGAGGAUGGCGGAAUUCCCCAAGUAGAGGUGAAAUUCGUAGAUAUGGGGAGGAACACCGGUGGCGAAGGCGGCCAUCUGGACGGAUACUGACGCUGAGACGCGAAAGCGUGGGUAGCAAACAGG
rnacentral:rRNA from 1 species